AUUGACAUUGUUUCUGAAAUUUUAAAAGAAAAAUUGACGUCGAAUACUCUCACAAAAUACAUCUAUUUGCAAUUUAAUAUCAACUCUAGUGUAGGUUCGACGUCAUUUAACGUCUGUUGGUCUUAUAAUUGACGUUAAAUUACAAAUUAACAUCGGUUUUGAAUAAAUUCAACAUUAAUUUAAAGGAAAUAUUUACAAAAAUGUUACCAAAUAUUUUUAACAUCAAAA
rnacentral:lncRNA from 1 species